GUAGUUAGCCGGGGCUUUCUCCUUGGCUACCGUCACUUCUUCGUCACCAAGAACAGAGGUUUACAAUCCGAAAACCUUCUUCCCUCACGCGGCGUUGCUGGGUCAGGCUUGCGCCCAUUGCCCAAUAUUCCCCACUGCUGCCUCCCGUAGGAGUCUGGACCGUGUCUCAGUUCCAGUGUGGCCGAUCAGCCUCUCAGCUCGGCUACCCAUCGCGGACUAGGUGGGCCGUUACCCCGCCUACUAUCUAAUGGGACGCGAGCCCCUCCUUCUGCGGAUUGCUCCUUUGACCUCUCUGCCAUGCGACAGUGUGGUCUUAUGCGGUAUUAGCAGUCGUUUCCAACUGUUGUCCCCCACUCUGAGGCAGGUUACUCACGCGUUACUCACCCGUUCGCCACUCGGUUAUCAGACGAAUCCAAUAACCUCGUUCGACUUGCAUGUGUUAGGCGCGCCGCCAGCGUUCGUCCUGAGCCAGAAUCAAACUCUGA
rnacentral:rRNA from 1 species